rnacentral:rRNA from 1 species
ACUUGAGGGGAGCUGCUCCUAGUACGAGAGGACCGGAGUGGACGGACCUCUGGUGUACCGGUUGUCCUGCCAAGGGCACGCGCCGGGUAUCUAUGUCCGGACGGGAUAAGCGCUGAAAGCAUCUAAGCGCGAAGCCCACCCCAAGAUGAGGUCACCCACCGGGUGAACCGGGUAAGUCCCCUGGGAGACGACCAGGUUGAUAGGCCGCGGGUGCAAGGCCGCAAGGCUCAGCCUAGCGGUACUAAUAGGACGAGGGCUUGCCUGC